rnacentral:rRNA from 1 species
UACGAAGGGGGUUAGCGUUGCUCGGAAUCACUGGGCGUAAAGCGCACGUAGGCGGGUUGCUAAGUCAGGGGUGAAAUCCUGGAGCUCAACUCCAGAACUGCCUUUGAUACUGGCGACCUUGAGUCCGGGAGAGGUGAGUGGAACUGCGAGUGUAGAGGUGAAAUUCGUAGAUAUUCGCAAGAACACCAGUGGCGAGGCGGCUCACUGGCCCGGUACUGACGCUGAGGUGCGAAAGCGUGGGGAGCAAACAGG